GACGAACGCUGGCGGCGUGGAUUAGGCAUGCAAGUCGAACGGUAUCAUCCUUUCGGGGGUGAGAGAGUGGCGAACUGGUGAGUAACACGUAGGUUAUCUACCCUCAAGACGGGGACAACCCAGGGAAACUUGGGCUAAUACCGGAUGUGAGCAACUUUUUAGUUGUUUGAAAGGUGGCGUAAGCUGUCGCUUGGGGAUGAGCCUGCGUCCUAUUAGUUAGUUGGUGAGGUAACGGCUCACCUAGGCAAUGAUAGGUAGGCGGCCUUAACGGGUGGUCGCCCACACUGGGAUUGAGAUACGGCCCAGACUCCUACGGGAGGCAGCAGUCGAGAAUAGUCUACAAUGGUCGGAAGACUGAUAGUGCGACGCCGCGUGAACGAUGAAUCCCUUCGGGGUGUAAAGUUCUUUUAUAUGUGAGCAGUGCUUCUUAUAUUAACAGUAUGGGGAGAGAGAUAUUAGCAUAUGAAUAAGCAACGGCUAACUCCGUGCCAGCAGCCCGCGGUAAACUCGU
rnacentral:rRNA from 1 species